rnacentral:misc_RNA from 1 species
AACGCACCUUGCGCCCCUUGGCAUUCCGAGGGGCACACCCGUUUGAGUGUCGUGAAAUCAUCAAAACCCUUUUCUUUUGGAAAGGGAUUUUGGACUUGGAGGUUUGAUGCUUGCUUUCACGCUCGAAAGUGAGCUCCUCUCAAAUGAAUCAGUGGGGUUUGCUUUGCCGAUCCUUGACGUGAUAAGAUGUUUCUACGUUUUGGACUUGGCACUGUGCCCGCUUCCAACCGUCCCAGGGACAACGAUGGUGCUUCGGUCAUCGCCAUUCACACUGGCGGGAGGCUGGACCCACAAAAAAAAACCUUGACCUCAAAUCGGGUGAGACUACCCGCUGAACUUAA